rnacentral:ribozyme from 13 species
UUUCUUUAACACUUUCCUAUUUUCAUUUCCUUUUUCACUGUUACUCUUCAAAAGGUCGUCUUUUCUAAACAAAUGGCCCAAAAUGGAAGGAAAGCAAAAGAGGGUCAUGUUCGUCGAUGAAGAGAGACGAGGCAGAAACUCCACCAAUUCAACUUCGGUGGCAAAUUACAGAACUCAGAUGUCUCAGAAAAAUAAAGUUGAUGACAAUCUUUUUGUUGUUGGUUUCUU